CCUGUGAGCUCUCCGCCAAGGGCGAGCCGACCGGCGCAGCGUGGGCCGCGCCCGGGGGACACUUCGCGAGCCCCGCGGGGGACGUGGCCCAGGGUCUGGGACUCAGCGUGGACUCAGCUCGUCGUUAUUCCCUCUGUGGUGCAUCCCUCCUGAGCUGAUCUGCUGACCCAGGGUUUCCCCUUCCCUUUCCCUUCUGACCAGCCAUGGAGGCUCAACAUCUGUGCCUCUCACUUCAUGGAUGAGGACAUGGGGGAAGGCAGAGACUUCAAACUUCUCCGUGUAUUGGGAAAACCAAAACAUACAUCUACAGAAAUAUUGUCUAACCAUAAUUCCUUCUAUGGAAAGAGCAGAUCCAAGGACUCUGAAUUAUGUUGAAAGACUUUGGGGCAAAUCACUGGAAAUAUCUGCGGUGAGUUCAUUUAGGUGAUAUGUCAAAUUUUCCUUGGAAAGAGGAGGGAAAACAGAGACUUUUUGGUGUGAAUAUUUUUUAUGCUGAUGUGAAUUAUUUCAUUAAGUAGUGUGACCAUAGCACUACUGAUGUCAGUAUCCUCACAUUUGAAAUGUAUUUGUAUUUGCAUCCAAGACUGUGAUAGAGAAGUAAAAGAGGCCAAUUCCUUCUUCCUCACCUCAUAGCCUCCAGUUCCCUUCCUGCCAGCUUCCUGUCUGCAACACCCCCUCCAGACACAAAGACACACUUUUUCUCCUUCGGACUGUGAACUUGGAAGCCUCAGCCUAAAUGCGAGUGGCAAGUGGCUUAUCUGGAGCCGCCUGCCCGAGUCUUACUGAAAUGCAGCUGUUGUAGGCCAACUGUUUAAAACCCCAGAAAUAUAUCGACCAAGGUGGCACUUCCCAGUGUUUGGCACAACAAUUGCAAUUGCACUGGAUAUAUUUUAUACGUGUGUGUGUAGAUACAUAUCAUAUUUUUUACGAGGAACAUUUUACGAUGAAAGAAGAAACCCUUCUCUGCCUUCUCUCCCACAAAUUCUGUCUCUCCUUCUAUUCUCCUCUGGAUGAAAAAAAAGCAACAAGAGAUCCCCAACUGUUUCCAUGAAGAACUAGGAAUACCACAAGAGGAAGAAAUGUCCAUGGAGUCUCUAAUACCUCGAAUAUUCCUCUCAGUCUCUAUGGUCAUGAUUUGGUCACUUUAGUUUUGGGACAGGGGAAGGGGUCUGUGUGUGGGCAAAGAUGAAGGCACUGAGGAAGAAGGAACAAUCAUUAAAGAUGUCUCUUUACUACAAGGUCACUGUGUUAUUUCAUCAGAAGAAAAUAAAUGUCCUAGUCUUUCUCUAAUAGAAUAAAAUAAUUUAUAGUAGUA